UGUAACCUCAGCUGUUUAUGAGAACAGAAGGAAAGGUUUCAUCUCUGUCGCAAAAAUCAAAUGGCCGCAGAGAACAAACCUAAGUUAGCUUCCUCCUCCAAGUCCAAGAAGGGCAGGCCGCGCUAUCUCCCUCACAACAAACCGGUGAAGAAGAAGGGGGCGUACCCAUUAAGGCCAGGAGUUCAAGGCUUCUUCAUUACCUGCGAUGGCGGCAGGGAACACCAAGCCUCUCUCGAAGCCAUUAACGUUAUUGAUUCUUUUUUUGAGGAG